UACGUAGGGGGCUAGCGUUGUCCGGAAUUAUUGGGCGUAAAGAGCUCGUAGGCGGUUUGUCGCGUCUGCCGUGAAAGUCCGGGGCUCAACUCCGGAUCUGCGGUGGGUACGGGCAGACUAGAGUGAUGUAGGGGAGACUGGAAUUCCUGGUGUAGCGGUGAAAUGCGCAGAUAUCAGGAGGAACACCGGUGGCGAAGGCGGGUCUCUGGGCCGAUACUGACGCUGAGGAGCGAAAGCGUGGGGAGCGAACAGG
rnacentral:rRNA from 1 species